rnacentral:rRNA from 1 species
ACGAACGCUGGCGGCGUGCUUAACCCCUGCAAGUCGAGCGGAAAGGCCCUUCGGGGUACUCGAGCGGCGAACGGGUGAGUAACACGUGAGUAACCUGCCCCAGACUUUGGGAUAACCCUCGGAAACGGGGGCUAAUACCGGAUACGACACAGCUUCGCAUGGGGUCUGUGUGGAAAGUUUUUCGGUUUGGGAUGGGCUCGCGGCCUAUCAGCUUGUUGGUGGGGUGAUGGCCUACCAAGGCGACGACGGGUAGCCGGCCUGAGAGGGCGACCGGCCACACUGGGACUGAGACACGGCCCAGACUCCUACGGGAGGCAGCAGUGGGGAAUAUUGCACAAUGGGCGGAAGCCUGAUGCAGCGACGCCGCGUGAGGGAUGACGGCCUUCGGGUUGUAAACCUCUUUCAGCAGGGACGAAGCGUAAGUGACGGUACCUGCAGAAGAAGCGCCGGCCAACUACGUG